CUGGGGAGAAAGACCCACCUCAGCAGCUCUUGGCACACCAGAAGCCAAUCAGGAGAAAGAGGAAGGAAGUUUGGAGGAAGAGAAAAACAUUGAUGUGAAAGAGACACAUCCACAUAUACCCCAACCGGGCCAGGGAUUGAACCUGCAACCCAGCCUCGUGUCCCAGCUGGCCUUUUGAGUAUACUCUUCCCCUGACCUCACCCUCAUAUCCUACCAAAGAGCCCACUCAGUCUAUCCUACCCCUGAGGGUCCUAGACCUGGAACUUAAAUGCUGGAAGCUCAGGGCCCUGCUUGGCUCUAAGCUUCUGAAUUCAGGAUGGUCAAGGGGAUUACA